UGGGGAACAUUGGACAAUGGGCGGAAGCCUGAUCCAGCAACGCCGCGUGAGGGAUGACGGCCUUCGGGUUGUAAACCUCUUUCAGCACAGACGAAGCGCAAGUGACGGUAUGUGCAGAAGAAGGACCGGCCAACUACGUGCCAGCAGCCGCGGUAAUACGUAGGGUCCGAGCGUUUGUCCGGAAUUUAUUGGGCGUAAAGGGCUCGUAGGCGGUUUGUCGCGUCGGGAGUGAAAACACCGGGCUUAACUCGGUGCUUGCUUUCGAUACGGGCAGACUAGAGGUAUUCAGGGGGAGAACGGAAUUCCUGGUGUAGCGGUGAAAUGCGCAGAUAUCAGGAGGAACACCGGUGGCGAAGGCGGUUCUCUGGGAAUAUCCUGACGCUGAGGAGCGAAAGUGUGGGGAGCGAACAGGAUUAGAUACCCUGGUAGUCCACACCGUAAACGUUGGGCGCUAGGUGUGGGGUCCAUUCCACGGAUU
rnacentral:rRNA from 1 species